GCAGCAGCCGCGGUAAUACGUAGGGUGCAAGCGUUAAUCGGAAUUACUGGGCGUAAAGCGUGCGCAGGCGGUUUUGUAAGACAGAGGUGAAAUCCCCGGGCUCAACCUGGGAACUGCCUUUGUGACUGCAAGGCUAGAGUACGGCAGAGGGGGAUGGAAUUCAGCGUGUAGCAGUGAAAUGCGUAGAUAUGCGGAGGAACACCGAUGGCGAAGGCAAUCCCCUGGGCCUGUACUGACGCUCAUGCACGAAAGCGUGGGGAGCAAACAGGAUUAGAUACCCCCGUAGUCCCUGUCUCUUAUAC
rnacentral:rRNA from 1 species